rnacentral:rRNA from 1 species
AGAGUUUGAUCAUGGCUCAGAUUGAACGCUGGCGGCAGGCCUAACACAUGCAAGUCGAGCGGUAGAGAGAAGCUUGCUUCUCUUGAGAGCGGCGGACGGGUGAGUAAUGCCUAGGAAUCUGCCUGGUAGUGGGGGAUAACGUUCGGAAACGGACGCUAAUACCGCAUACGUCCUACGGGAGAAAGCAGGGGACCUUCGGGCCUUGCGCUAUCAGAUGAGCCUAGGUCGGAUUAGCUAGUUGGUGAGGUAAUGGCUCACCAAGGCGACGAUCCGUAACUGGUCUGAGAGGAUGAUCAGUCACACUGGAACUGAGACACGGUCCAGACUCCUACGGGAGGCAGCAGUGGGGAAUAUUGGACAAUGGGCGAAAGCCUGAUCCAGCCAUGCCGCGUGUGUGAAGAAGGUCUUCGGAUUGUAAAGCACUUUAAGUUGGGAGGAAGGGUUGUAGAUUAAUACUCUGCAAUUUUGACGUUACCGACAGAAUAAGCACCGGCUAACUCUGUGCCAGCAGCCGCGGUAAUACAGAGGGUGCAAGCGUUAAUCGGAAUUACUGGGCGCAAAGCGCGCGUAGGUGGUUUGUUAAGUUGGAUGUGAAAUCCCCGGGCUCAACCUGGGAACUGCAUUCAAAACUGACUGACUAGAGUAUGGUAGAGGGUGGUGGAAUUUCCUGUGUAGCGGUGAAAUGCGUAGAUAUAGGAAGGAACACCAGUGGCGAAGGCGACCACCUGGACUAAUACUGACACUGAGGUGCGAAAGCGUGGGGAGCAAACAGGAUUAGAUACCCUGGUAGUCC